rnacentral:rRNA from 1 species
AGUGGCGGACGGGUGAGUAACGCGUGGGUAACCUCGCUCAGUACAGGGGGAGUAACAGUUAGAAAUGACUGCUAACACCGCAUAAUAUAGCGAAACCGCAUGAUUUUGCUAUCAAAUAUUUAUAGGGUAUGAGAUGGGCCCGCGUCUGAUUAGCUAGUUGGUGGGGUAAAAGCCUACCAAGGCGACGAUCAGUAGCCGGCUUGAGAGAGUGACCGGCCACAUUGGGACUGAGACACGGCCCAAACUCCUACGGGAGGCAGCAGUGGGGAAUAUUGGACAAUGGGGGAAACCCUGAUCCAGCCGACGCCGCGUGAGUGAAGAAGUAUUUCGGUAUGUAAAGCUCUAUCAGCAGGGAAGAUAAUGACAGUACCUGACUAAGAAGCCCCGGCUAACUACGUGCCAGCCGCCGC